GUGCCUGUAGCUCAGCUGGUUAGAGCGGCGGUUUGUGGUACCGUAGGUCGUGGGUUCAAGUCCCAUCAGGCACCCCA
rnacentral:tRNA from 1 species